CUACAGCAACAUCCCCACCUACAAAUUCAACACCUGCUUCAGGGCCGUAUUAUGUUGUUGCUCUGAAUGGCAGGAUCUCCACAAGUUUGUCACUGGAAAAUGAUUAUGAGACCAUUGUGAAACAGAUUAAAGAUGAACUGGUCAGACGAGGACUGCCACCAACAAUGAUUGUUCGCCUCCUCAGGGCCGUGACAACAAGUCGCUAAGGCCAAAUAUGUAUCUAAUACCUGUAUAUAACCAUAUAACGCUCUCUGAAGUUUCAAGUCAUUUCUUUUUCUCUGUU